AUGGCCUGGACCCAUCUCCUGCUCCCGCUCCUCGCUCUCUGCACAGUCUCUGUGGCCUCCUAUGAGCUGGCACAGCCAUCCUCAGUGUCAGUGUCUCCGGGACAGACAGCCAGGAUCACCUGCUCUGGAGAUGUACUGGCAAAAAAAUAUGCUCAGUGGUUCCAGCAGAAGACAGGCCAGUCCCCUGUGCUGCUGAUAUAUAAAGACAGUGAGAGGCCCUCAGGGAUCCCUGAGCGAUUCUCUGGCUCCAGCUCAGGGACCACAGUCACCUUGACCAUCAGUGGGGCCCAGGCAGAAGACGAAGCUGACUAUUACUGUCAAUCAGCAGACAGCAGUGGUAAUCAUCCCACAGUGACACAAGCAGAUGGGGAAGUGAGACAUAAACCCCUUUGCCUCUAUUUCAUCCUCUUCCUCCUGCCCCAGGAGGACUGUGGACAAAGCCAUGAGCAGGCUUGGCCAAAUUCACCCAAAUCUGAACCCCCAGGCUGCCCUUCCCUCCAGCCCUCCAGGCAGGCGCUGCAGAAGAGCUCCAAAUCAAGGAACAUGGCCACCCUGACCAUUAGUGGGGCCCAGGCCCGCGACGAGGCUAUUACUGUGCUGCAGAUAAUAACAGUGGGAGCAGCUGGCAGGGACUCACAGUAA